rnacentral:rRNA from 1 species
UUAAGCGACUAAGCGUACACGGUGGAUGCCCUGGCAGUCAGAGGCGAUGAAGGACGUGCUAAUCUGCGAUAAGCGUCGGUAAGGUGAUAUGAACCGUUAUAACCGGCGAUUUCCGAAUGGGGAAACCCAGUGUGUUUCGACACACUAUCAUUAACUGAAUCCAUAGGUUAAUGAGGCGAACCGGGGGAACUGAAACAUCUAAGUACCCCGAGGAAAAGAAAUCAACCGAGAUUCCCCCAGUAGCGGCGAGCGAACGGGGAGCAGCCCAGAGCCUGAAUCAGUGUGUGUGUUAGUGGAAGCGUCUGGAAAGGCGCGCGAUACAGGGUGACAGCCCCGUACACAAAAAUGCACAUAUUGUGAGCUCGAUGAGUAGGGCGGGACACGUGGUAUCCUGUCUGAAUAUGGGGGGACCAUCCUCCAAGGCUAAAUACUCCUGACUGACCGAUAGUGAACCAGUACCGUGAGGGAAAGGCGAAAAGAACCCCGGCGAGGGGAGUGAAAAAGAACCUGAAACCGUGUACGUACAAGCAGUGGGAGCACGCUUAGGCGUGUGACUGCGUACCUUUUGUAUAAUGGGUCAGCGACUUAUAUUCUGUAGCAAGGUUAACCGAAUAGGGGAGCCGAAGGGAAACCGAGUCUUAACUGGGCGUUAAGUUGCAGGGUAUAGACCCGAAACCCGGUGAUCUAGCCAUGGGCAGGUUGAAGGUUGGGUAACACUAACUGGAGGACCGAACCGACUAAUGUUGAAAAAUUAGCGGAUGACUUGUGGCUGGGGGGGAAAGGCCAAUCAAACCGGGAGAUAGCUGGUUCUCCCCGAAAGCUAUUUAGGUAGCGCCUCGUGAAUUCAUCUCCGGGGGUAGAGCACUGUUUCGGCAAGGGGGUCAUCCCGACUUACCAACCCGAUGCAAACUGCGAAUACCGGAGAAUGUUAUCACGGGAGACACACGGCGGGUGCUAACGUCCGUCGUGAAGAGGGAAACAACCCAGACCGCCAGCUAAGGUCCCAAAGUCAUGGUUAAGUGGGAAACGAUGUGGGAAGGCCCAGACAGCCAGGAUGUUGGCUUAGAAGCAGCCAUCAUUUAAAGAAAGCGUAAUAGCUCACUGGUCGAGUCGGCCUGCGCGGAAGAUGUAACGGGGCUAAACCAUGCACCGAAGCUGCGGCAGCGACGCUUAUGCGUUGUUGGGUAGGGGAGCGUUCUGUAAGCCUGUGAAGGUGUGCUGUGAGGCAUGCUGGAGGUAUCAGAAGUGCGAAUGCUGACAUAAGUAACGAUAAAGCGGGUGAAAAGCCCGCUCGCCGGAAGACCAAGGGUUCCUGUCCAACGUUAAUCGGGGCAGGGUGAGUCGACCCCUAAGGCGAGGCCGAAAGGCGUAGUCGAUGGGAAACAGGUUAAUAUUCCUGUACUUGGUGUUAUUGCGAAGGGGGGACGGAGAAGGCUAUGUUGGCCGGGCGACGGUUGUCCCGGUUUAAGCGUGUAGGCUGGUUUUCCAGGCAAAUCCGGAAAAUCAAGGCUGAGGCGUGAUGACGAGGCACUACGGUGCUGAAGCAACAAAUGCCCUGCUUCCAGGAAAAGCCUCUAAGCAUCAGGUAACAUCAAAUCGUACCCCAAACCGACACAGGUGGUCAGGUAGAGAAUACCAAGGCGCUUGAGAGAACUCGGGUGAAGGAACUAGGCAAAAUGGUGCCGUAACUUCGGGAGAAGGCACGCUGAUAUGUAGGUGAAGCGACUUGCUCGUGGAGCUGAAAUCAGUCGAAGAUACCAGCUGGCUGCAACUGUUUAUUAAAAACACAGCACUGUGCAAACACGAAAGUGGACGUAUACGGUGUGACGCCUGCCCGGUGCCGGAAGGUUAAUUGAUGGGGUCAGCGCAAGCGAAGCUCUUGAUCGAAGCCCCGGUAAACGGCGGCCGUAACUAUAACGGUCCUAAGGUAGCGAAAUUCCUUGUCGGGUAAGUUCCGACCUGCACGAAUGGCGUAAUGAUGGCCAGGCUGUCUCCACCCGAGACUCAGUGAAAUUGAACUCGCUGUGAAGAUGCAGUGUACCCGCGGCAAGACGGAAAGACCCCGUGAACCUUUACUAUAGCUUGACACUGAACAUUGAGCCUUGAUGUGUAGGAUAGGUGGGAGGCUUAGAAGUGUGGACGCCAGUCUGCAUGGAGCCGACCUUGAAAUACCACCCUUUAAUGUUUGAUGUUCUAACGUGGACCCGUAAUCCGGGUUGCGGACAGUGUCUGGUGGGUAGUUUGACUGGGGCGGUCUCCUCCUAAAGAGUAACGGAGGAGCACGAAGGUUGGCUAAUCCUGGUCGGACAUCAGGAGGUUAGUGCAAUGGCAUAAGCCAGCUUGACUGCGAGCGUGACGGCGCGAGCAGGUGCGAAAGCAGGUCAUAGUGAUCCGGUGGUUCUGAAUGGAAGGGCCAUCGCUCAACGGAUAAAAGGUACUCCGGGGAUAACAGGCUGAUACCGCCCAAGAGUUCAUAUCGACGGCGGUGUUUGGCACCUCGAUGUCGGCUCAUCACAUCCUGGGGCUGAAGUAGGUCCCAAGGGUAUGGCUGUUCGCCAUUUAAAGUGGUACGCGAGCUGGGUUUAGAACGUCGUGAGACAGUUCGGUCCCUAUCUGCCGUGGGCGCUGGAGAACUGAGGGGGGCUGCUCCUAGUACGAGAGGACCGGAGUGGACGCAUCACUGGUGUUCGGGUUGUCAUGCCAAUGGCACUGCCCGGUAGCUAAAUGCGGAAGAGAUAAGUGCUGAAAGCAUCUAAGCACGAAACUUGCCCCGAGAUGAGUUCUCCCUGACUCCUUGAGAGUCCUGAAGGAACGUUGAAGACGACGACGUUGAUAGGCCGGGUGUGUAAGCGCAGCGAUGCGUUGAGCUAACCGGUACUAAUGAACCGUGAGGCUUAACCUU